GAUGAACGCUGGCGGCGUGCCUAAUACAUGCAAGUCGAGCGAAUGGAUUGAGAGCUUGCUCUUAUGAAGUUAGCGGCGGACGGGUAAGUAACACGUGGGUAACCUGCCCAUAAGUCUGGGAUAACUUCGGGAAACCGGGGCUAAUACCGGAUAACAUUUUGAACCGCAUGGUUCGAAAUUGAAAGGCGGCUUCGGCUGUCACUUAUGGAUGGACCCGCGUCGCAUUAGCUAGUUGGUGAGGUAACGGCUCACCAAGGCAACGAUGCGUAGCCGAACGUAGAGGGGGAUCGGCCACACUGGGACUGAGACACGGCCCAGACUCCUACGGGAGGCAGCAGUAGGGAAUCUUCCGCAAUGGACGAAAGUCUGACGGAGCAACGCCGCGUGAGUGAUGAAGGCUUUCGGGUCGUAAAACUCUGUUGUUAGGGAAGAACAAGUGCUAGUUGAAUAAGCUGGCACCUUGACGGUACCUAACCAGAAAGCCACGGCUAACUACGUGCCAGCCGCCGCAGUAA
rnacentral:rRNA from 1 species